UUAAAUUGUAAGGAAGAGUAAUAUUAAUAAAUUGAAAGCUUCAAUUAAAUGAAUGUGCUAGUCAAUCUGGGUUGUUAGGGCUACUUUCUGACUGCAGGAUUCUUGAUUUUAAUUUGGUAAGGUUUGAUUUAAUCUAAUAAUUAAAAUUUUUUCAUUUUUUCUUAUUUUUUAAAAAGAAAACAAAAAUCUAGUUUUAGUAUAAAAUCAUAUCAACCAGUUUUGAUUUAAG
rnacentral:misc_RNA from 1 species